AGGAAAGUCGCGGCUACAGUGGUGAUGAAUGAGGGUCAGCUAUUGUGCAGCAGGGACAGACGGCGGAGAUGCCUGUUCCCCCAAGUCUCCUUUCAGAAGAUCCCAUGAGCAAGUCCCUACACCUAGACCUUCAAGCCCUCCUCCCGACAGAGAGGAUCUGGCAUGGGAGGGGCCCGCUGUAGCCGAGCUGAGGUUAUCUCUAGCUAGCAGGCUAGCCAGAAAGUGCCAGCUGCUCUCUCUUGCGCCCACCAGUACUCCCUUCUCAGGGCAUUCUCUGAUGUGCCUCGGAGAGUGUGCUGCGGACCGGGGGAGGCGCUCCUACUCUAUCGAACAAGGACAAUGGGCCGCUCUCAGGAGUAACAGAGCCGUUGUUUGUAGGUGGAGAGCACCCUCCGGAGCCCAGCCGACUAGCUUCCCGGUGCCAGGCAUGCUGUGGGCGGGAGUCAGGCUCAACCUGUAGUUUAGAGGAUCACGGACUUCCCUCCAUGCCUCUGCGGAACCAGGAACUGGACACACAAUGAAAGGACUCACUGAGCCAAGGCAGCCUCGGGGCAUGCAUUUUGGAAGCGCCAAAUCUACUUCCCUUCUUGAGUCUCAUCACCAUUCAAAAUGGAACCAGAAGCUACUUUGUAAAAUGGAGCUACUACCUAAGAGCAGAGUGGUGACGGCUACUAAGCCUGAGUUCCAUCCCUCAGAAUCCACAGGGUGGAAGGAGUGAAAUGACUGCUGCAAUUGGUUCUCCGAUCUCUGCAUGGUGUCUAUGGCACGACAGUGCCAUCCACGUAUGAUGUCCUGAAAGACCCUGCUUGGAAUGACCGUGAGCGCGUGCGGGGGUGGGGUCGGGGGGAGGGGUGAUCACACGCUGGGUGGGUGAUGGUCUCAGUAAAGUAGAAGCUGCAGUGGUGAUCUCACAUACACACACACACAUACAUGCACACGCUUGCGUGCACAAUAAAGUGACCCAUACCCAGGAGGCAGGAGGAUCCUUAUGAGUUUAAGGAAGGCUUGGUCUACAUUUAGAAUUCUUGGCUAGCCAAGGCUGCAUACUAAGAUUCUGGGGGCAGAGUUGGGGUGGGGAGCUACAGAAGGCAAGGCACAGUCCAAAAGCCACUGUUUUACAGUUUGGAGUGACUUAGAGCAAAGUACAGCCUGAUCUUGUUGGAACCUUCUGAGGGGAAGUAUCCUGGUGUGUUGUCCUGUUUUCAUAGGAGUCUUCUCUGUGGUGCAAAAAAUAGUAGGUCUUCAUUUUAGUCAUAUAAAGUUUUAAUUUUGUUUAAAAGACAAAACAACAACAACAGUGGAGCCAGUAUAGUGUGUGACAUGCCUCCAAUGCUAGCAGCCAGACAGCAAAGGCAGGAGCUCUGUGAGCCAUACAUAGUGAGCCCAUGUUGUCAUUCCCCAAGCCCCCAAAACAGUUUAAGACCAGCUUGAUAUACAUAGAAAAUUUAAAAUUCUGAGCCAAGUAGAGCUAUACAGUGGAACUGUCCUAAAAACAAAUAAGGCUAGAGAGGUGGCUCCGUAGUUAAGGUACUUAACCGCUUGCUCUUCCAGAGGACCCACCCCAGUUAGGUCCCCAUCAGCUUUUACAGGUGGCUCACAGCUACCUGGAACUAAGGGAAAUAGACACCUCUAAGCUCAGUGUGUAGGCAUGCACAUACUUAAAAAGAAAUCUAGAAAUCAAGCAACAAAAAGUAUAUUAGAGCUGGAGUAUAGCUGAGUGGUGAAGCACUCAACAUCAACUAAAGUGGAUGACUUAAGGAAGAUGCUAUAAUGAUUAAACCAGUGGAUCUGAAGGACAUGGACUGUAGGUGAGCACACGGAUUUCCCCUCUCCCAUUGCUACCUUGGAGUAGGGGAACAGGAAUAAGAGAAGGUCCCUGAUGUCUAGGGAGCAGAGCCUCUGUAGAAACAGGAAAUUGGGGUUAGGGAGAGCCCAUGUCUCAGGAGCAGGACCUCACAGCAGCCUGGCUACCUCCAGCCUCCUCCUUUGAAAAUGGCAGCAUUGUCUGGCACGUGUCCUGUUUUCCACUGUCUUUGCCUUUGUAGUAAUUAAUUAAUCCGGGCCUGCUUGCCACCUAAAGUCCCUUCAGACACUUCCUAGCUCUGCAUGUCGCCUUGCAGCUGGCAAUAUACCUUCACCUGAGGUUCGGCAUCAGGUCCUAGGGACCCACUCAGGGAAAACGGAGCCAUAUGGGCCCAGAGAAAUCCUGCUUUCCCUUUGAAAGUCAGCUGGAGGCCUUUCCUCCUUUGUUCUAGAUUUUCACACAGUGAAAAACACAGUCACACACACACACACACACACACACACACACACACACCUUACUUUUUCAGAGUCAGUGACUCACUAUGAAACCCUGACUGGCCUGUAACUCACCAUGCAGACCAGCGCUGGGAUUAAAAGCCUGUAGACACCCAGCUGUUAUGAUCACAGCCUUCAGCCCAUGUUCUAGGACAGCCUUUGGAAGUAGUCUAGGGGUCCAGCCCUGGGGGUAGUCAAGAAUAGAGCUAAGAGAAAUAGAAGAUCUAUACAUGAUUUCACUAGCCUUCAAGUGAAACGAGUCCUGCUCUCCAUUUAAGAAUGGAAACUGCAUCCUGUAGAUUUCCCAGUCUAUGUGACUGUCACAACAGAAGUCAGGGAUUUCAUCUACCUCAACUAGAGGUGUAGUGGAGCACUUCAAAAGAAUAGUUACACUCAUGUUAGUGACUUCAUUUUUUUAAAUUUAUUUAUUUAUUGUAUAUGAGUAUAUUGUCCCUCUCUUCAGACACAGCAGAAGAGGGCAUCAGAUCACAUUGCAGAUGGUUUUGAGCCACCACGUGGUUGCUAGGAUUUGAACUCAGAACCUCUGGAAGAGCAGUCAGUGCUCUUAACCACUGAGCCAUCUCACCAGCCCAUAACUUCAUAUUUUUGAUAUUAGUCCUGCUCUAGAUAUUAAAGUUUAGAAGACUCACGAGUAGUUACAUAUGUUUUAAAAGUGUUUUUCUGACAUCUGCAUUUCAGUUGUUUGUUUAGAAGGCCUUGCCUUCUAAGGCAUGGGCCUGUGAUUAUGACGGAAUUGAGAGGAGGAGGUAAGAGGUUUGAGAGUCCAGGCGAGAGUGAAUUGCUCAGCUGUUAAGAGCACUUCUGCAAGAGGAAAAGGGUUUGAUUCCCAACACCCACUGGAAGCUCCCAAGGGAAUCAGCUGCUCUCUUCUGGCCUCCCAGAGCACUGCACACAUACAUUCACUCAAGAAAAACACCCAAAUGCAUUUUUUUUCUUAAGAUGAAAAAAAUUAAAAGACAGUUCAGAGUCAUCCUUGGCUACAAAGCCAGUUCAAGGCCAGCCAGGGCUUCAUGAGAUCUUACACUUACAAACACACACUAAAUUGCCCAAGAAUAAGUAAAAGAGCCAAGCAGUUGCAGCACACACCCUUAAUCCCAGCAUUCUGGAUGCAGAAGCAGGCAGAUCUUUGAGUUCAAAGCCAGCCUGGUCUACAGAGUGAGUUCCAAGACAGCUAGGAGUACUCAGAGAAACCUUGCCUUAAACAAACAAACAUACAAAAAAAAAAAGAAUAAUUUUUUUUAAAGAUCUAUUUUAUUUAGUGUAUAUGAGUACACUGUAGCUGUACUGAUGGUUGUGAGGCAUCAUGUGCUUGCUGGGAAUUUGAAUUCAGGACCUCUGCUGGCUUCGGCCUAAAGAUUUAUUUAUUAUUAUAUCUAAGUACACUGUAGCUGUCUUCAGACACAUCAGAAGAGGGUAUGAGGUCUCAUUACAGAUGGUUGUGAGCCCCUAUAUGGUUGCUGGGAUUUGAACUCAGGACCUCAAGAAGAGCAGUCAGUGCUCUUAACCACUGAGCCAUCUCUCCAGCUCAAAUAAAUUUUUUAAAAUGGUGACAUAUGCUUAUAGUCCCAGUACUAGGGAGACUUCAAGAGGAUUGCUUCAAGUUCAAAACCAGGUUGGACUGUAUAGUGCAUACUAGUCCACCUGGUCUACAAAAUUAAACAUUGUCUCUCAAAACAAACAUCAAAUCAAACAAAAAAUACAAACAUGAAUGCUUUAAUGUUGAUCCUCCCACAACCAUGUUAGAACCUGCCCACCUUGCCCAAGGCCACAGUGACAAGGUCCAUGGAAGAAGAUGAUCAGGAAGAUCCAGAGAAGAAGAGGUGGGGGUCUCAGUGUAACUGUUCUCAACAUACACAAAUAAUUCUUAAAGGAACAGUGCCUCCCUUAUACACGUACAUCCUUCCCCAUCAGGGUAGAUACAGAGCUCAGUGAGAUCCUGGCCCCUAGGCUUACAGAAAAAAGAGUUUCUCUGUGUAGCCCUGGAACUCACUCUGUAGAGCAGGCUGGCCUCGAGCUCAGGAAUCCACCUGCUUCUGCCUCCCGCAUGCUGGGACAGUAGUGUGUGUGCCACUACUGCCCGGCCAGAAAAAUCAUCUUUACUUAUCUUGUCAGAGAUUUAUUUAGUUUCCUUUGGUUUUGUUUUGAUACAAUGUAACCAAGGCUAGUCUUCAACUCCUGAUUUUCUGGCCUCUACUUUCCAAGUGCUGUGAUUAUAGUAUUCAUUGGUUUAUUUGAGGGUUUUGUCUUGAGAUCAAAAAGCAGGACAAGGAACAGAACCUAGAGUUUACACUUAAAUCUCAAGAUGAGCCUUCCAGCCAGCGAAGGGAGAGACUGCAGGAAUGAGAGGAAGCCAGGAGCCCAGCUACCAGAGAGAUGCAGUUGUAGGUGAAAGAGUCCAGAAUGCAUCAUAAACCAUCGCCAUAGAGAAAUCAUUCUGAGCUGAGAGCGUUUGAGAACAGGCUGUUGUUAUUAUAUUAUUAUUAUUAUUAUUAUUAUUAUUAUUAUUAUUAUUAUUAUUUAAUUUUUUUUUAGACAAGGUCUCUAUGUAGCCCUGGCUGUCCUGGAACUCAAUAUGCAGGCCAGACUAGCCUUGAAUUCACAGAGAUCUGCCCUCCUAUGGCUCUCCAAGUGCUGGAACUGAAGGCUGAGCCCAGCUGAGAACAGGCUCUGACCUAACCUUCUUCAUGUGCUCCAAAACAAUCUCCCAGAGUGCUCUCUGCUGGAAUUAGCCAGAAAAUGAACCUCAGAGUCCUAACACGAGACAAACACAGCCACACCCACAGGAACAUUCUCACAAAAGAGUUUACGUGUUGGGGGCUGGAGAGAUGGCUCAGUGGUUAAGUGCACUAGGUCUUGAAUUUAAUUCCCAGCAACCACAUGGUGGCUCACAACCAUCUGUAAUGGAUCUGAUGCCCUCUUCUGGUGUGUCUGAAGAUAGCAAAAACGCACUCACAAAAAGUAAAUAAAUAAUUCUUUAAAAAAAAAAAAAGAAUUUACAUGGCAUCUUUCCUAAAAGACAUUUAUUUGCUUGUAAUUCACCCUCAUUAAGUCAAUAAACAAUGGUGAGGUGGGUCAGAGAGCAAAGGCAGUUUCAUCCCAAGGACCACAGGUGGGAUAAGAGACCGGAGUCUCACAAGUUGUCCUCUGACCUCCACUUGUACACUGUGGUGUACACACACACACACACACACACACACACACAAAUAUAAUUAAGCCAAAAAAAUAAAGUUGAUACUUGGGCUGAGCAUGGUAGCCUAUGCCUUUAAUACAGGCAUUCAAGAGACAAGGGCAGGCAGCUCUGAUUCCCAGGCCAGUUUAUAUUAUAUUAUAUAUAAAAUGAGCUCCAAGAUUCUAACUGCCAAAUACUACAAGUAGAUAAAAAUCUCUCGCCAGUCAGUUGCCAGGCUUGAAUUUUUUUUUCCUGGGGUUCUGUUGUCAAGUUCUUAUUGCUGGCCUCCAACCCAGGAGGAUCCUUUGCCUCUGUCUCCCACAUGCUGGGCUUACAGGCUUAAUUCACAGGCCUAUGAUGACACACACAUGUGCAAUGUCCAGCAGAGGCUCACCAUUCUGUACCCGUAUUUCCAAGAACAGCAGCUACCACCAGGACUGGCUAGAUGGCUCAGCCUAAGGACCUCAGUUUGAUUUCCCCAGACCCACAUGGUUUCAGGAGAGAUAAAGACUCCUGCAAGUUGCCCUCUGACCUCCACAUUCACACCAACUUGUAUACACAUACAUAGAUACAAAGUAAGUAAGUAAGUAAAUAUAUGUAAUUAAACUUUUCUUUAAUUUCACAGUCCUCCCGAAUAGACUCGGGAGGGUAGAGGUCCCUGGAUAGGCACCCAGGGAAAUUGAAUGGGUGGAAUGGGUGGAGGGGUUUUAAUGAAAGCAUGCUUGUCAAAGCUGUUUGUCCAUCAAGGACUCUGAGCGCUCUGCUCACUUCAGUUCCUGCCCAGGCUUCAGGGACAGCUACUGAGAUAAUGCUUUCCUGGAAGAAGAGAGAAAUCUCUAGAAGUUCUGGCAUUAGCAAAUAAAGAAACAUUUGUCGUGUC